rnacentral:tmRNA from 1 species
CCCCUUUAAUGACGUUUGAUCUGGCCCUAUAUUGAUGGUGUCGGGUAACCGACUAUAACGAUAAACACUAUGCGGAAUAAUCGUUGCGGACCCGGGGGCAGUGCCCGGCGCCUCCACCAAAAUUCCCGAACCCCUUUAUCAGGGGUUUGCAAUGGGGGCGAAACAGGAUCGACGUACGUGGUAAAGGCAUAACUUUCGUUCGGCAUGGUAUCCACCGUUAUCGGGCCAAUCAGAGAAAUGCCAACGAUAAUGAGGCAUUUGCAGUAGCAGCCUAACGGCUCUUACUACGGGGUUCGGGGGGCACCUGGCAACAGAAGCCCCCCACU